rnacentral:rRNA from 1 species
GAUAAACGCUGGCGGCGUGCCUAAUACAUGCAAGUCGAGCGAACAGAUGAGGAGCUUGCUCCUCUGACGUUAGCGGCGGACGGGUGAGUAACACGUGGAUAACCUACCUAUAAGACUGGGAUAACUACGGGAAACCGGAGCUAAUACCGGAUAAUAUAUUGAACCGCAUGGUUCAAUAGUGAAAGACGGUUUUGCUGUCACUUAUAGAUGGAUCCGCGCCGCAUUAGCUAGUUGGUAAGGUAACGGCUUACCAAGGCAACGAUGCGUAGCCGACCUGAGAGGGUGAUCGGCCACACUGGAACUGAGACACGGUCCAGACUCCUACGGGAGGCAGCAGUAGGGAAUCUUCCGCAAUGGGCGAAAGCCUGACGGAGCAACGCCGCGUGAGUGAUGAAGGUCUUCGGAUCGUAAAACUCUGUUAUUAGGGAAGAACAAAUGUGUAAGUAACUAUGCACGUCUUGACGGUACCUAAUCAGAAAGCCACGGCUAACUACGUG